CCAAGAUGAGCUGCCUAACCCUUACUGAGAGCAAACUGCAGUACACAAUGCACGUUAAUGAUCCUACAUACAUCUCCAUAUAUCGCACCCCCCACCUAUGAUAGAGUGUGUUAUUCCCACCAACGCUGAUAUAUAGCUCUUUAAAUCCAAAGCCUAGCUCUAGGGGCAUGUUCCCCCAGUGUACACCCACAACCACCAGUGUACUG